AAAAUGUUCAAACUAAUUAGUGACGAGCAAAGCAAGAUCARRACCUUCUCUUGGUCAAGAGAGCAAGUCUUGCUGUUGUGCUUGUGCUUCUAUACAUAGUCUUGGUCUUGGUUUUGCAAGUCUUGCUUUUAUAUAAGCCCCAAMAUGAAACGGAAUUAAUUUUAUAAUAACAAGAAUAAUAAUUAAAUUAAAAGAUAAUAAGCCAUAAAAAAAUUUCAGACUAAARUUUAAUUAUUUUACACCAGGAGCGCUGGCAUCGACAAUUUUGGAGAUUUGGUGACAGCGCGUGUCGAUGACAAGUGAUGCUCAGUCUUUACCUAUGGUCAGUCACAAACCUAAAGYUAUUUUGAUACUUAUUUCUUACAUUAUUUUGUUGCAAAAUGCGGUUUUAAUGUUCCGUUGGCGAUGGCMUUGUCUUUAUAUAUGGCUAGUUGUGAGAAAACUUCUAAAGAAGUGAAAACGCAUUUUUUGUCUUGGCUCUAAGUCUAAAGUUCUAAGGUCUUGGUAAGCUGGGCCUACAUAUUUAUAAGUUGUACAACCGUACGGCUGAUGCUUUUUGCCUGAAUAUUAAAGCAUGUGGAUAAGAUAAAAGGGGUGCCGAUACUUAUAUACUAAUAGAAAUGCUUUAAUUGAUGUGAACGACAGACAUCAGCGCAAGGGCGGACCCAGCUUUCGAGUCAAGGGGGGGGUCAAGUAGUACAAAUUCAGUACUUUGUUGUCUAUGAAAUUAGAAAAAUUAUCGUUAGUGGCAAUAAACCCAGUACAAGGGGGAGGGGGUUGUGACCCCGAUGACCCCACUGGAUCCGCCCUUGCAUCAGCGACACAAGUUUAGGGUAUGCGAUAUACAUUUCACCGACAAGUUAAAGUUUGUCAUAAAACUAUUUUGAGACUAGUAGUCAUAUUUUGAUCAUCAUAUUUGGUCGGUAGUUAGCUGAAAGCCCAAGCCAACCCCCCCGGAUGACUUAAAUGUACGCAUUUUGGUGCCUGCAGCCUACAAGCAUUGAUAUAAAAAGUCAAAAAAAUCAGUUUUUUUAAAUGGUACGUACUGACUUUUUUGGUUCUGCUUGAAAAUCUCACAGGACCAACAAAAAUGGUUUUUUGGCAUUUUCAAUGAUAAAUUAACUUGAAUAGCAUUUGAAUUUGGCGGUUUAAUCACCCGCCCGCGUCGCUAACGGCGCCACUGUCUAAAUAGUUAUUAGAUCAAAGAUACCGACCAUCUGUCUUUAUCUAUGAUGCAGGCGGCGAGUGCUCUAGCUGUAUGCACAGAACAUACCCAUUGCUUUAGAAUUCAAUGUUCCACACUUUAUACGAAUGUUAUGUUGUAGUGCAUUUCUUUUUCCAUUUUGUAAAAUUCAGCCCAUCCUUUCUUAAUGCUAUAUUAUUAUACCUGCUUAUUUUGGAUUCUUAGAAUAAUUAAUUAAAAUUAGAAUCAGUA